GCAGCGAUGUUCGAGUGUUUAAGGAGUUUGACUAGAAAUCAAAUGGGCUCUGCCCGCAUCAUUUCGAACCCUGUUCGCUGCG
rnacentral:tRNA from 1 species